rnacentral:rRNA from 1 species
UACAGAGGGGGCAAGCGUUGUUCGGAAUUACUGGGCGUAAAGGGCGCGUAGGCGGUCGUGACAAGUCACUUGUGAAAUCUCCGGGCUUAACUCGGAACGGUCAAGUGAUACUGUCGGACUAGAGUACAGAAGGGGCAACUGGAAUUCUCGGUGUAGCGGUGAAAUGCGUAGAUAUCGAGAGGAACACCUGGCGGCGAAGGCGGGUUGCUGGGCUGAUACUGACGCUGAGGCGCGGAAAGCCAGGGGAGCGAACGGG